UACGUAGGGAGCAAGCGAUGUUCGGAUUUACUGGGCGUAAAGGGCGCGUAGGCGGCGCGGUAAGUCACUUGUGAAAUCUCUGAGCUUAACUCAGAACGGCCAAGUGAUACUGCUGUGCUAGAGUGCGGAAGAGGCAACCGGAAUUCUUGGUGUAGCGGUGAAAUGCGUAGAUAUCAAGAGGAACACCUGAGGCGAAGGCGGGUUGCUGGGCCGACACUGACGCUGAUGCGCGAAAGCCAGGGGAGCAAACGGG
rnacentral:rRNA from 1 species